rfam:Enterococcus rotai strain LMG 26678 genome.
CCAAAGACCAUGAUCAAGAGGAGUACUACUGGCAUCGUUAUAGAGAGAAAAUCACUUGGUGGAAGAUUUUCACAUAACCAGUAAGAAGGUAGCUUGGGAGUCAAUGAUUUGAAUUCAGUAGAAUGAUUCGAGUAGUGAUCGUUACCUCACGAAUGAAGCGGUGUUUGGAUUUUUCAAACACAAUUUAGGUGGUACCACGUAUAGUUGUUUAUACGCCCUAAAA